rnacentral:rRNA from 1 species
UAAGGACAAGUUGUGAUGGGGAGGGAAAUUUAAGUACCGAAGUUUCUGAUGUCACACUGCCGAGAAAAGCUUCUAGUUAGAAAACAACGGCCCGUACCGUAAACCGACACAGGUAGUCGAGGAGAGUAUCCUAAGGUGUGCGAGAGAACUCUCGUUAAGGAACUCGGCAAAAUGACCCCGUAACUUCGGGAGAAGGGGUGCUGUUCGCAAGAACAGCCGCAGUGAAUAGGCCCAAGCGACUGUUUAUCAAAAACACAGGUCUCUGCAAAAUCGAAAGAUGAAGUAUAGGGGCUGACGCCUGCCCGGUGCUGGAAGGUUAAGAGGAGUGCUUAGCGCAAGCGAAGGUACGAAUUGAAGCCCCAGUAAACGGCGGCCGUAACCAUAACGGUCCUAAGGUAGCGAAAUUCCUUGUCGGGUAAGUUCCGACCCGCACGAAAGGCGUAACGAUUUGGGCACUGUCUCAACGAGAGACUCGGUGAAAUUUUAGUACCUGUGAAGAUGCAGGUUACCCGCGACAGGACGGAAAGACCCCAUGGAGCUUUACUGUAAUUUGAUAUUGAGUGUCUGUACCGCAUGUACAGGAUAGGUAGGAGCCGGAGAGAUCGGGACGCUAGUUUCGAUGGAGGCAAUGGUGGGAUACUACCCUUGCGUUAUGGCCACUCUAACCCGCAUCACUAAUCGUGAUGGGAGACAGUGUCAGAUGGGCAGUUUGACUGGGGCGGUCGCCUCCUAAAAGGUAACGGAGGCGCCCAAAGGUUCCCUCAGAAUGGUUGGAAAUCAUUCGUAGAGUGCAAAGGCAAAAGGGAGCUUGACUGCGAGAGCUACAACUCGAGCAGGGACGAAAGUCGGGCUUAGUGAUCCGGUGGUUCCGCAUGGAAGGGCCAUCGCUCAACGGAUAAAAGCUACCCUGGGGAUAACAGGCUUAUCUCCCCCAAGAGUCCACAUCGACGGGGAGGUUUGGCACCUCGAUGUCGGCUCGUCGCAUCCUGGGGCUGUAGUCGGUCCCAAGGGUUGGGCUGUUCGCCCAUUAAAGCGGCACGCGAGCUGGGUUCAGAACGUCGUGAGACAGUUCGGUCCCUAUCCGUCGCGGGCGUUGGAAAUUUGAGAGGAGCUGUCCUUAGUACGAGAGGACCGGGAUGGACUUACCGCUGGUGUACCAGUUGUCUCGCCAGAGGCAUCGCUGGGUAGCUAUGUAGGGAAGGGAUAAACGCUGAAAGCAUCUAAGUGUGAAGCCCACCUCAAGAUGAGAUUUCCCAUUUCUUUAAGAAAGUAAGAUCCCUGAGAGAUGAUCAGGUAGAUAGGUCAGGAGUGGAAGUGCAGCGAUGUACGGAGCGGACUGGUACUAAUCGAUCGAGGACUUAACCG